GGAAUUUCUUAGCAAUAAAAACGACAAAACGAUAAAACAACCUACAAUUCGAGUAGUGGUUUUGAGUAUAAAAACGUGUUGCUCCACUACCAUUGUCGUCAGAUCAAUUCGAAACUUCGAGUCAAGAACAACCAACAAAUCAAAAUGCAAAUCAUCAAAGUUGCUCUACUUAUCGCAGCUGCUCUGCUCGCUGUUUUGGGAGGUGCUCAAGCGGAACCAAUUCGCGACAUUAACGGUAAUGUGAAAGGCGAUGUAAAAGAUAAUUCGAGUUGAGGUUGAUCUUGCUGUUAAAUAAAUCGGUGGCAUCUUCAGUUAAUGAAUUCGAUGGCACAAUGAUGUCAAAAUAAAAGAUACUAUUUCAAAGUAAA